UUCUACGGCUUCCCCUUUCCUCCCCGCCGCCCGGCUCCUACCCCGACUUCCAGCGCCUCCUCCCGAGCGUGAACUGCGCUCGCCCAUCCCGCCGCCUUCUCUCCCGAGCGUGAACUCCGCCUGGGCCAUCACGACGAUGGCGCGGCCGCGCUCGCCCAUCCCGCCGCCUUCGUCAUCGACCCUGGUGAGUUCACAAGGAAUGCGCGUUAGAUCCACCCAUCAUUGCUGAUGAGCCGAAUGAAACAAUCGACGCAAGAGAGGGGAGGAUGGGAUCGGAGGGCCGCGUACCUGGCGGCGACUUCACGGAGGAGGCCGGCACCAGCGGCGGGUCCCGCACACGCCGCCCCUCUCUCCCACUCUCGGACUCUCCCCGUCAGUGCCCAUGGAAUCACACCCACUGAUCCACCCAUCUUCGUCGGCGGCGCCGACCCUGGCACCGGCACCGCGCCGCAGUCCGCCGACCCUGGCCGCCGUGGGCGAGGGCCUCUCCGGCUCUGGCGCCGCCACUGAGGACCCCGUCCUCAUCCGCGUCCUCCCCGGAGCCGUCGGCCGUGGCGUCUCCUCUAUCCCGCCCCACCCAUGUCCUCCGCCUCCUUCCUCUCUCCCCUCUCUCUACGGCCCCCAUUCGGCUUCGGGCCUCGGAGUUGGAGAGCAGCUCCAGCCAAGGAAUGGAGAUUGCGGCACUGUCUCGUGCUUCAGAAAUGAUCCGGAUGUUCCAACGACAUCUGACUACGAUGGCGGCUUCAAGUAUAUUGCCCAAUCAGAGAGCUCCAGUGCUGUGGCGGCAAAAGAGGAGGAGGUGGGAAGUUCAAAUGGGGAGCAGGAGUGAAAUUUCAAGGACAUGGGUUGGUUCCUGCAAGUGCAGAAGGCAAGUAUGUCUUCUUUACUGCAUCCUAACCUGCUUGUAUUUUUCUUAGAAUUUACUUGAUGUAGAUGUAGAAAAUAUCUCUAAGCAAUUCCAUUUCCUCCUCUCCUCUACAUUUCUAGCUUGGCAUUUCACUUGCAUUCCAUUAUGUUUAAUUGCUGGAGCAUAGUACUUACUUUGUUAAACAAUAUUAUUCUGCUUCAUGCUACUGUGGAAAUUUGCUUGGCAUUUCACAUGUGUUGUAUGUAACAUGUCCGCUUUUACUACAAUAAAUGUACAGAUCUUAGCAACCACUAACAUGAGUUUCAGUCUCAGUUUUCGCAUAGACUAAAGAGGUAGUCUUUUUGAAUAAUUUUACAACAUGAUCUAUGUUUGAGUGAUUUAAACAUUCUUUUUUACAAUUUAUAAACUUAUUUUCUGUGAUCAGUAUUGGUCACAUAUUAGUUCUGGUCACACUACUGUGGCAGCAAUCAUUCCCAUUGAAACUGAAGUUUUACAUUCAGGUCAGUCUUCUUUUUUACUUCCCACCUUUCUGUCUAAUAACUCAUUCAUAAUGAAUGAGUUGGUUCACACAUUAAGUGUAUUGAGUAUUAGAAAAGAAAUUUCAGUCAAACUAUGAUUUGAGUGAAAAUAAUUUUUUAGCUCCCUUUCGCAAUUUUGUGUGUACCAAGAGAUAAUUCACACAUUAGUGGUUUGGGCACUCUGAUUACUUUUGAAGAAAGUGGUGCUAGGUCAUGUCUCAAGAAAAGAAACUGUACUCAAGUCAAGUGUAUUGAGUGUUAGAAAAGAAAUUUCAAGUCAUCAGGGAGCAAUGCCUGGCUCAUCUGUCAACAUGAUAGUGACAUAGAUCAUUAUUAUUGAAGUCAUCAAGGAGGAAAUGCUUCACUGAUCUAUUGAAUAGGAGUCUGCUAGAAGGUGGAUUUUUAUGCAGAUGCACAUAAGUCUGGUAAUACUUUUUAGUGGCUUCUUCACUGUACUUUAGUUAGAAUAAGAAAAUGGUUGUUUUCGAAUGACUUCUUGUUUUGGUUCUAAAAAGCAGAUUACUCCAGAGUUAAUGUUUUUUUUCCUAACUAAUAAGAUCUCCUUGUGGUUACUCAUGGAUUUUUGUUCUGUUUAGAUGAAGAUGACUUGGUCCAUUGCUUGGAGCAAGGGAUACAUGCUAUCAGGAGGCAUGCAUACAUGUUUAUCAAGCCUGUGAGAAAUCAUUGUUUGCACACUUCAGUCAAACACAUUUACUGCAUUCCCUACUUUCACUGCAUUGACAAUGCUUGAUCUCUGUGAAAUAUUGUGCAUUGAUAAUGCUUGAUCUCUGUGAAAUAUUGUUUGCAAACUUCAGGUUUCUAAUAAAUUUGUAGAAUCAAAUGAUGUUUCAUGUCUUCCUCUCCUGUGAUCAUAAUUCAUUUUGUACUCAGGUUAUUUAUUAGUUCUCAAAAAGCUCAAUAAUCUGCUUUGGCCAACUGACCUAUUUUUUUAUUCUCCAUAUGUGUUGUUUGCUUCUGUUGAAAACAAAACCAUCUCAGCAUAGUGUUCGUGGUUUUAGGGGACUUGGGCUCACCCCGAAUAUUUUUAGCAGCACCUCUGGUAGACUGUAAGCUGCCUACCCCAACUUGCUUGGGAAAAAAGGCUAUGUUGUUGUUGUUGUUGUUGUUGUUGUUGUUGUUGUCUGGUAGACUGUAAGCUGAUUGCAAGUCUGCUAAAUUGUGAGUGGCAUAUAGACCCUCAUGCUUAACUCGUGUCCUUUUCGAAUAAAUUUUCUUAUAGUUUAACUUUUAUCAUCUCCCUCACUGAUUUUUUUCACCUUUUUAGGUAUGGCAAUGUCAAAUAUGUUGAUGGGAGGCAUUGGCAUAGCUAUGAGGAAAAUAAAAAAUGAACAGAGGAAUUCUCAUGAUGGCCGUGGCAGCGACGGAGGCGGGGCCGAGCGAGUGCAGCGGCAGGGCGGUGCUGGUCACGGGCAGACGGGCGGGGCGGGCCACACCGUGCUGCAGCUUAGCUCGUCACCGCGGUAUUCCGCGUUAUCGUCGUCGACAGCCUCGCCAACUCCUUCGAGAUUGCGCUGCGCCGGGUGUGCGUUCUCGCGGGGAACAUGCCAAAAACCUUGCCUUCCACAAGGUAAUCAAUACUGCGUACGUUCUCUCUCCCUCACUCAAUGUUGGAAUGUUAAUUUGCUUCCUGCUAUGCAAAUGUGUGUUAUUGCAAUAUAAUAUUUGAUUGUCAAAUACAAAGUGAUGUUCUUUCCUUGUUGCAUUGAGCCAUUGCCUUUGUUGAGUUGCUGAGCAAUUCACCUGUAGAUCAAGAUAUGUUAGGAUGUCCAAACCAAGUUAUGUUAUGUUGUCCAAAUCAAAAUAUGUUAUAAUGUCCAGUAAUAGUGUGGUGCUUUGUAAAUGACAGAUGGUGUUAUAUGUCAUUUUUUUGCUGUUAUCUAUAAUUCUGUAGCAUAGUUUCCUGGACUGAUAGCUUGGCAUUUUUUUAAUGCACCCUUGGAAAAUUUAUCAUGUUUUAUCAAGAUAAAAUAACAACUUAACUUUAAUAGUGCUAUUUGUAGUGUUUGUUUCAACUUUGUGACUAGCCUAUUUUCAUGUAGACUCUUUUUGGAUUUGUAAACUUCAAGCCCUCCCAUUCAAUUAAUGUAAAUUAUCGCCCAAUUCUGGAUCCUUGCUUGGAAGCUUUAGCAGCUGGUAUAUAUAUGCACUGAUGCUUAUUAUUAUUAACUGCAAUUAUAUGUCGUUUAAUGAAGUGGUUGUCCAAAAUCUUUGUUGGAAAGGGGUAACCAUGAUACAGUGCAUAUGAAGUGGUUGUCCAAAAUCCAAAUCUAGAGGUGCAGUGCUGGUUGGUUUUGAAGCAACUGCAACACAUUGAAAUGGCACUACACAUUCUGAUACUGCUUGCCUUUUUAUUAAUGUACUUUCCAUGCCUUUGGUGGAAGGAUUGAUCCUGAAAAGUUUAGAUACAAAGAACCUAAGUAUUUUCCUCAUAUCUUCACAACGGAAUAUCUGAAAUCUCAAUUGUGAAGUUUUGCUGAUAAAUAACCAUUAUACCUCCUUUGGCUUACUGUUUUAGAUAUAGAUGGUUUAUGUUUCUCCUUUUUAUUUUAAAUUUCAUCACAAUUUGUUUGCAUAGUAGAAUCUAUAUAUAUAUACUAUAAGGAACCAAAACAAUGGGAAAAAUCCAUGUUGAUGGGGAGCUGCAUUAGCGUGGGGCUCUCCUCGACACCACUCUGCAGGAGACCGAUGCCAGGCUAUGAUGUGUUUGAGGGAUGAGGACAACGUUGGUGGCGCAUUGUGUCUAUUGUUCGUUUGGGUGAUCCAAUCCUAUAUUCUGUUUCAUUUGGCAUUCACAACUUGGUGUUUGCGUAUUGGAUUAACUACAAAUGAAGCUCAGCAAGGAGCGGAGCACUGAUGCAGCCAUCCAACAAGUUAGCAGGAGACCUGCACAUGGUGUCCUCUCUAAGAUCCUUCUGUUCUGGCUAUUCUUUGUAGAAAUUGAUCAGCUCAGUGCAGCUCCCUAUAGAAUACUACAGCUUUUGAACCUUUUCUAUAGGAAGAUAAGAGUAUUUAGGUGAAGUAAGGGAAACGGUCUAUUUGAGAUCUUUAUCACUGAUCAUAAGAUAUAUUGGCUUGUGAUUUCUUCAUUAUCUGGUAUGUCAUAGCUUGGUCAAUUUCUUGCAAAUAGUAACUUAGCACUUUUUUGUGUUGAAACUUUUAGCUGGUUAUUGUUUAGAAAUUGAAAGAUACUCAUGGGUUUACGUAUUAGUUUUAAUAUGAAAAUAAUGCUGGUCUAACCACAUGACAAUGGCAGGCUUCUUCGCUUCCGUUGCAAGGGAAGAAAAUUAAGAGAAGGAUAUAGAUCAAUAUCAGUUUUGUUGCCAUGGUCUCGCCUGCCACCCUGCAGGCCUGCACCCAAUUUUCAGUUUUGAGCAAUUUUGAAGUUUAUAGCAUUCAUGCCAAAUUAUAAUCACUUUAUGUGAUCUCUCGAUCAGUGUUAUCAAGUUUCAAUUUUAUGGACCAGUGUUAUCAAAAGUUUUCUUUUGUCAGUGGUAAUGGACAUUUAAUUCUCCCGAUGUGGAUGUUAUUGUCCAGUUUAGCAAUUUCACAUGCUAAUAUCAAUCAAAUUUUAAUUUUGGGUUACUGAGACGUUCAAUUUUUUAUUUGCAAAUAAGAUGAACAAUUCAUUUUCUGACAAAAACAAUAUGAAAUAUGGGUAUAAAAUCAAUCGGCAGAACUAAUCUCCGGGGUGUAUUUCAUGAAAUUUGGGUGACCACAUCUCUUUUUACUACAAUCGAUAUACUUUAAAGAGAUGUCAGCUAAAUUUUAUACUCCCUCCUUUUCUACAUGAAUAUUGUUUAGCUUAGUUAUCAAUUUAUUUUUAUAAUUGAGGAAGAUGGGCCUUAACUCAAAAUUACUAUCCAAGGUUUACUUUAAAACAAAUACCACAUGAUCUGAUUACCUAAGGUUACCCUGAAUUUGAGCAGCAGCCCUGCCCUCGUGAAGGAAGUGUAAGCUGUGUUGGCCCUGGCCGCCCGGUGAAGGAGCUUGGUCACCACCGGAGACGAGGACUACAAGUGGGGCAUUGACUAAAGUGAUCAGCCUGCGAAUGGAAUUUGUGAUUUUUGUGCUUCGCCUGAGGAAUAGCAGUGAAAAUGUGAAAUCGAUAGAGGAAGAAGGUGAUUUGCAUAAUAGGAGAGGAUGUUCAUAGGAAAGAAAUACCUCAUUUCAUUUUGCUCUUUUAACGAUUUCACAUGUCAUUUAAUCAAUCCACACUAUUUUUGUUUUGGAGCUGGCCAGUGAUAAAUGCAUACUGUUUUCAUGGCAACAUUUCUAGCCCGCUGUCUAUAUUAUGAAGCUGGUUUUCCUGUUGCUUGAUUGCGUUGUGAACAUCUUUAGGGGAUAUCGAAUCUCUGCCAUUUAUCAAAGAUUUCAUGUCAAUUGUCCUAUACUAUCAUGUAGUGGGAACUUCAUAUUCUUGUGACAAUGCUUCUCAAGUUAGCACCUGAAAUUGAUGAACCUUUUUUCCUUGUGGUAACUUAUUUACUUUGUUCUCCCAUUUUCCUGUGCAGAAUUUUAGAGAGUAAAAGAACUGAGCCAUGACAGUAGGAGUCCCAGCAAUACUGUCUCAACAUACCAACAAGCUAAAGUUAAUUUCCUGAUAUUGUGACUGAGUAGAGAUGUCUGGGAAAUUGGUACUCAAUAGUCAAUGCUCUUUUUAACAUCCAGAGUGAUUGGUAGUAAUAUUUGAGAAACUUGGAGCCACUGACACUUAUAACAUGUCUUUGGAUAAAGCUGGGAUGGGAAUAAUAAUAGCAUUACUUGAAACUAGAAGUAGUAAUAGCAUAACUUGAAACUAGGAGUAGUACCAGCAUAACUUGAAGUUCUUUCAGCAAGAGUGGCAGGUCCAAAUUUGUCCUAUCUCGUGUGAUUAGUGUAGUCUAAAAAUUUUUGCCAAGCAUUUAAACUAAAGGUUGGCACGCAGGCAAUAAUAUAAACAAAAAACUAAGUUAUAUGGAUUUAAGGGACAGUUUUGAAAUUAGGAAGUAAAUGGGAAUUAGUAAUUAAAUAUUGUGCAAGAGUGAUGUCAUCAAGAUAUAAUUAAGAAAUAAUUAAAUAAAUAAGUAAAACAGGUAAUGUAGGCAAGAAUUAUAUUUUAUAUUAUAGUUGAAAUAAAAGAUGAUAGAUUUUACCGAUCAAAGACAGAUAGUGCAGCUCACAAGAUUUCUAAAAUUUGAAUAUAAUUGAAUACAUCGAACAUCAAAAUUGUUUUGCUAAAAGAAAAAUUCAUGUCUACUCCAUAGGCAUGACAUUAAUGGGUAUUGAAC